UGGGGAAUAUUGGACAAUGGGCGAAAGCCUGAUCCAGCCAUGCCGCGUGUGUGAAGAAGGUCUUCGGAUUGUAAAGCACUUUAAGUUGGGAGGAAGGGCAGUAAGCGAAUACCUUGCUGUUUUGACGUUACCGACAGAAUAAGCACCGGCUAACUCUGUGCCAGCAGCCGCGGUAAUACAGAGGGUGCAAGCGUUAAUCGGAAUUACUGGGCGUAAAGCGCGCGUAGGUGGUUCGUUAAGUUGAAUGUGAAAGCCCCGGGCUCAACCUAGGAACUGCAUCCAAAACUGGCGAGCUAGAGUAGGGCAGAGGGUGGUGGAAUUUCCUGUGUAGCGGUGAAAUGCGUAGAUAUAGGAAGGAACACCAGUGGCGAAGGCGACCACCUGAGCUCAUACUGACACUGAGGUGCGAAAGCGUGGGGAGCAAACAGG
rnacentral:rRNA from 1 species